UCCCCGUUACCGGGGCAGUUUGAAUAGAAAAAUACAACUAUUCACAAGGGUUGCGCUCGUUAAUGGACUUAACCAAACAUCUCACGACACGAGCUGACGACGGCCAUGCAACACCUGUCACUUGGCUCAAUAAAGCACUCUCACCUUUCGGUAAAAUUCCAAGGAUGUCAAACCCUGGUAAGGUUCUUCGUUUAUCAUCGAAUUAAAGAACACGAUCCACCGCUUGUGCGGGUCCCCGUCAAUUCCUUUAUGUUUUAGUCUUGCGACCGUACUCCACAGGCGGGAUACUUAACGCGUUAGCUUCGCUACUGAAGGGGUCGAUACCUCCAACAGCUAGUAUCCAUCGUUUACGGCGUGGACUAC
rnacentral:misc_RNA from 1 species